rnacentral:rRNA from 1 species
UAACGUAGGGUGCAAGCGUUGUCCGGAAUUAUUGGGCGUAAAGAGCUCGUAGGCGGUCUGUCGCGUCGGCUGUGAAAACCCGAGGCUCAACCUCGGGCCUGCAGUCGAUACGGGCAAACUAGAGUACUGCAGGGGAGACUGGAAUUCCUGGUGUAGCGGUGAAAUGCGCAGAUAUCAGGAGGAACACCGGUGGCGAAGGCGGGUCUCUGGGCAGUAACUGACGUGGAGGAGCGAAAGCCGUGGGGAGCGAACAGG